UACGUAGGGUGCAAGCGUUGCCCGGAUUUAUUGGGCGUAAAGGGCGCGUAGGCGGCUCUGCACGUUCGUUGUGAAAUCGCCCGGCUCAACUGGGCGGGGUCAGCGGAUACGGCAGAGCUUGAGCAAGCUAGGGGGCAAUGGAAUUCCCGGUGUAGUGGUGGAAUGCGUAGAUAUCGGGAGGAACACCAGUGGCGAAGGCGACUUCCUGGCCUGUUCUUGACGCUGAGGCGCGAAAGCUAGGGUAGCAAACGGG
rnacentral:rRNA from 1 species